GACGAACGCUGGCGGCGUGCUUAACACAUGCAAGUCGAGCGGAAAGGCCACUUCGGUGGUACUCGAGCGGCGAACGGGUGAGUAACACGUGAGUAAUCUGCCCCUGGCUUUGGGAUAGCCACCGGAAACGGUGAUUAAUACCGGAUACGACCACUCCUCGCAUGGGAUGGUGGUGGAAAGUUUUUUCGGCCAGGGAUGUGCUCGCGGCCUAUCAGCUUGAUGGUGAGGUAAUGGCUCACCAUGGCUUCGACGGGUAGCCGGCCUGAGAGGGUGACCGGUCCCACUGGGCCGGAGACCCGGCCCGGAGUCCUACGGGAGGCAGCAGUGGGGAAGAUUGGACAAGGGGCGGAAGCCUGAUACAGCACCGCCGCGUGAGGGAUGACGGCCUUAGGGUUGUAAACCUCUUUCAUCAUGGACGAAGCGAAAGGGACGGUACCUGCAGAAGAAGCACCGGCCAACUACGUGCCAGCAGCCGCGGUAA
rnacentral:rRNA from 1 species